AUUGAACGCUGGCGGCAGGCCUAACACAUGCAAGUCGAACGAGUGGCGGACGGGUGAGUAAUGUCUGGGAAACUGCCUGAUGGAGGGGGAUAACUACUGGAAACGGUAGCUAAUAACGCAUACCAUCGGAUGUUCCCAGAUGGGAUUAGCUAGUAGGUGGGGUAAAGGCUCCACUAGGCGACGAUCCCUAGCUGGUCUGAGAGGAUGACCAGCCACACGGGAACGGGGACAAGGUCAAGACUCCUACGGGAGGCAGCAGUGGGGAAUAGUGAACAAUGGGCGAAAGCCGGAUGCAGCCAUGCCGCGGGGAGGAAGAAGGCCUUCGGGUUGGAAAGUACUUUCAGCGGGGAGGCGUUACCCGCAGAAGAAGCACCGGCUAACUCCGUGCCAGCCGCCGCGGUAAUUC
rnacentral:rRNA from 1 species